GAUGUAGCGACGGAUUAUGUCUGUCGUUAGAUAAUAUGUAUGUAUCACCAUAUUUUAAUACCAAUUGCUACGGAUAUUUCCGUUGUUAACUUAAAAAAUGGUAAAAUUUAAUGUUAAUCUUAGCGACGGAACCAAUCCGUUGGUAAAAUUGUCAGCAAAAAAAAUAAAAUUUUAUUUUUAUCAAAGAAAUAAAACAAAAUGGUCUCUAAUAAACACACUAAAACUUCAAAAUCCUAGAACUUUCUUCAAACACACAAAACCACUGAAACUUGUCUUGCUCUCUCCGCCUCUACUUAGGUUUGUCUUUGCUUCCUUUUCUCUUCCCUUUUCUAUUAGAUAGGGUUUCUCUUCGUUUUCAAGAACAUAAAAACAUGUUCUUUUCAUCUGGCUAAUUAAUUUCUUCAAUAAUCUGUAAGUAUUAGUAGCAUUUUUUAUUCAUUGUUUAGUGUUGUAUUCAUCUGGGUUUCUUCCAUUUUUAUUCUUUGGUAAUGCAUGAAGCUUCUAUUUUUUUUAAUCUUCUUUUAACUAUUUAGCUUGUUUUUCGGGAAAAAAAAAUAGCUUGUUGGAUCUUUGUUUGCUUUGCUGAUGCGUAAAAGGAAUGUUCUUUCUUUGAUUAAAAGCCUUGAUUUUUGCUUAUUAAGAAUGUUUAUGAAGGAAAGUUUGUGUCUUUAUUCAUCUGCCUAAUUCCUCAAUAAUCUAUGAGUAUUACCAUUUUUUUUAGCUUUUUGAUUCAUUCUUUAGUGUUUUAUUCAUCUGGGGUUCUUCCAUUUUUGUUCUUUUGUUAAUGAUUGAGCUUUUGUUCUUCCAUAUCUGUUUCUUCGUUUCUUUUUCUAUUCUGUUUAAUGUUUAUGCUUUGACUUAGGUGUUGUUAAAGAACCUAAAUUUUGGGGAAAAAUUGCAAUUGUGUGAAAUAUACCUUUUGUGUGUGUGUCGCCUAUUGGUUUUGUUUUUAGGUAGUAAGCUAUGUGAUUAGUGAAGAGAAAGUAAACAACUCCAAUACCAUUCGUGGUGUCUGUUAAGUUUCUGACUCGUUUCAAAACCAGUUUCAUACUGAGUCGUCUCAUCAUUGUGAACCUUCAAUGGAGGAGGAGUCUAAUCCUUCAAUGGAGGAGGAGCCUAAUCUUCAGUCCCAGAAGUUCCCUUUCUUGAAGCUACUGCUGGAACUAACAUCACGACACCACCUCAUUCGGGAGUUCUUUAAUCCACAACAUCAAGACAAUAUUUGAUUGAAAACAAUGAACCCUGGUGUAUAGAUCCAUUGCCUAAUUUCCUUGAUCCAUUCCCUGUCCAGAAUAGGCAGGUAGCUUGUAGCAAUAAACAAAGUGAUUGGAAGGAAUGGGCCGACCUUAUAAUCAAUGAUGAAGAUGCUCUGGCUUCUAAUAGGAACGGCAUUAUGGCUGAUACAAGCAUUGUCGACUCAGAGCCGAAAAUGCAAUAUCAGGAGGAAAAACAACCUUUAAAUUUCCCAAUGCAGCAAGUCCAAGCAUCACAGCAAAUCCCAGCUAUGUCUGUAGAAACUUCGGAUAUUGCUCCUUCAUCAUUCGUUGCAAGUGGUGAUGCAACAAAGCAACGCAUGCGUUGGACACCAGAACUUCAUGAAGCCUUUGUGGAAGCAGUCAACAAUCUUGGUGGAAGUGAAAGAGGUACUCCUAAAGGGGUGCUAAAAUUGAUGAAAUUUGAAGGUUUGACCAUCUAUCACGUAAAAAGCCAUUUGCAAAAAUAUCGAACAGCUAGAUAUAAACCAGAAGCAUAAGAUGGUUGUUAAAAAGGGUUGAGAUCCAACACCAAGUGAGGUACAUUUGCACGUCCAUACACACGGUCAUAAUGGAAAAUCUUUUGUUGGUGAGCGAGCCCGAAUCGUGCAUGAAAAAUAUUAAGAAAUACUACAAACAGACUCAAUCUGAAGUUGAUCAAUGUGAAGCCUAUUACGAAGCCGCAGGAGGGGUAAAGAAAAGAAGAAUAUAUGGUCUUGGAUCUCAAGCACAAAUAUAUUACGGGCCUAAUCUUCGUUCCCUCUUCUAAUUCUGAUGUUACAUCCUCAGUACCACCUCCGAAUGCUCAACUAGCAGUGACUGGAAAUUUGGAUGAGUUAGUGACGCAAUUAAUUCCUGCACUGACUGAUAGCAUCAUUCCUGCACUGACUGAUCGCUUCCUUCCUAUAAUUAUUGAGCGAGUACGUGGAUUGAGUCCUUCAGUCUCUUCUCAGACAGACACUCCUAAUGACCAUCCAUCAACUAUGACACCUAUAGUUCCAGCUCCAGCUACUGCCAACAUUGAUCAAGUUCAUGCAUCAGUUUCUGGUGAUGAUCGUGGCUCUCCAGUCUCUCAUUAGUUAGUUUUGUUGUUUGGAUUAUAUGGUUGUUGCAUAUGAUUUUGGAUUUUUGGUUUUGGAUAUUAUCAUUGUGGAUGCUUUGAACUUGAUUUGCAUUCUGCUAUGUAUUUUGGACCUUAUAGAAUAUUAGUUUUUAUGAAUUAAGUUAUUAUA